GUCAUGGCUCAGGAUAAACGCUGGCGGUGUACAUAAGACAUGCAAGUCGAACGGGAGAAGACUGGAAGAUUUAUCUACUAGUUGGACACCGUGGCGGACGGGUGAGUAACACGUAAGCAACCUGCCUAUAAGAGGGGAAUAACAGUGAGAAAUUACUGAUAAUACCGCAUAAGCUGGAGGUAUCGCAUGAUACAUUCAGAAAAGAUUUAUCGCUUAUAGAUGGGCUUGCGU
rnacentral:rRNA from 1 species